CGAAUACGAGACGCUACGGCGUCGAAGUAGUGUAUGUCACACUUCCAAGAAAAGCUUGCACUGUCAUAAAUAAAAGAUGCCUGUACCAUAAUCGACACAGGUGGGUAGGUAGAGUAUACUAAGGGGCGCGAGAUAACUCUCUCUAAGGAACUCGGCAAAAUAACUCCGUAACUUCGGGAGAAGGAGUGCCUUUUUUACAUAAGGUUGCGAUAACAAGAUCCAAGCAACUGUUUACCAAAAACACAGGUCUCCGCUAAGUCGUAAGACGAUGUAUGGGGGCUGACGCCUGCCCAGUGCCAGAAGGUUAAAGAAGUUGGUUAGCAUCUGCGAAGCUGAUAACUGAAGCCCUGGUGAACGGCGGCCGUAACAAUAACGGUCCUAAGGUAGCGAAAUUCCUUGUCGGGUAAGUUCCGACCCGCACGAAAGGCGUAAUGAUUUGGAUACUGUCUCGGAGAGGGGCUCGGUGAAAUAGACUUGUCUGUGAAGAUGCGGACUACCUGCACCUGGACAGAAAGACCCUAUGAAGCUUUACUGUAACUUGAAAUUGAAAUUGGACUUUAUUCGCGCAGCAUAGGUGGGAGGCUUUGAAGAUACUCUUGCGGGAGUAUUCGAGCUAUCAGUGAGAUACCACUCUUAUAAUGUUAGAUUUCUAACUUUGAACCAUUAUCUGGUCAAAGAACAGUUUCAGGCGGGCAGUUUGACUGGGGCGGUCGCCUCCUAAACGGUAACGGAGGCGUACAAAGGUUUCCUCUGAACGGAUAGAAAUCGUAUCUAGAGUAUAAAGGCAUAAGGAAGCUUGACUGUGAGACCUACAAGUCGAGCAGGGACAAAAGUCGGUCUUAGUGAUCUGACGGUACUGAGUGGAAAGGCCGUCACUCAACGGAUAAAAGUUACUCUAGGAUAACAGGCUGAUCUCCCCCAAGAGUUCACAUCGACGGGGAGGUUUGGCACCUUGAUGUCGGCUCAUCGCAUCCUGGGGCGGUAGUACGUCCCAAGGGUUGGGCUGUUCGCCCAUGAAAGCGGUACGCGAGCUGGGUUCAGAACGUCGUGAGACAGUUCGGUCCAUAUCCGGUGUAGGCGUUAGAAUAUUGAGAGGAGCCUUCUCUAGUACGAGAGGACCGAGAAGGACAUACCUCUGGUGUACCAGUUAUCGUGCCAACGGUAAACGCUGGGUAGCUAUGUAUGGAGUGGAUAACCGCUGAAAGCAUCUAAGUGGGAAGCCCACCUCAAGAUAAGUA
rnacentral:rRNA from 1 species